rnacentral:rRNA from 1 species
UACGUAGGGGGCGAGCGUUGUCCGGAAUUACUGGGCGUAAAGGGUGCGUAGGCGGUUUAACAAGUCCAAUGUGAAAUACCCGGGCUUAACCUGGGGGGUGCAUUGGAAACUGUUAGACUUGAGUGCAGGAGAGGAAAGCGGAAUUCCUAGUGUAGCGGUGAAAUGCGUAGAUAUUAGGAGGAACACCAGUGGCGAAGGCGGCUUUCUGGACUGCAACUGACGCUGAGGCACGAAAGCGUGGGGAGCAAACAGGAUUAGAUACCCUGGUAGUCCACGCUGUAAACGAUGGAUACUAGGUGUAGGGGGUAUCGACCCCCUCUGUGCCGAAGUAAACACAUUAAGUAUCCCGCCUGGGGAGUACGAUCGCAAGAUUGUA